rnacentral:lncRNA from 1 species
UUAAAAUGUUAAGUAUUUAUACCAUUUUCGAAAUUUUGACAGAAAUUACAAAGAAUACAAGUAGCGGAAAACCAAAAACUAUAGAAUAGACAGACAAAAAACAGCAAAAAAAAAAAAGGAAAACGUUAACCAAGAGCGGAAAUAAAACAAGAAACACUGAUUCUGAAAUGCCAAAAACAGAAAUUUGCGUGAUUUCCACACCGUCAAGUUGCCAAGAAAAUAGAGUCUCAUCCUAGUUGCAACGAGCAAAUCUUAAAAAGCCAGCCUUCAAAACCUCGGAAUAAGGCGCUUACAGCUUCUCCGCAAACUAACGCAAAAAUGCGAUGACUAGAAUAAACUGAUACGCAAAUCCGACGGUUACACGAGCAUCUACAAGCAACCAGAAAAAUCACAUUCGGUCACCAUUCCUAUUGUAAAC